UACGGGGGGUGCAAGCGUUGUUCGGAAUUACUGGGCGUAAAGGGUGCGUAGGCGGCUCGCUAAGUUAGAUGUGAAAACUCUGGGCUCAACCCAGAGCCUGCAUCUAAAACUGGCGGGCUAGAGUUCUGGAGGGGGUAGCGGAAUUCCUGGUGUAGCGGUGAAAUGCGUAGAUAUCAGGAGGAACACCGGUGGCGAAGGCGGCUACCUGGACAGAAACUGACGCUGAGGCACGAAAGCUAGGGGAGCAAACAGG
rnacentral:rRNA from 1 species